AAUAUACUAUCUCCGUCCAACAAAGAUGUCUCAAGUUUGUCAAAAUUUAAAUGUAUUUAAACAUUACUUAGUAUAUAGAUGUAUUUAAAGUUAGUCAAAGUUGAGGCAUCCUUUAUUGGACGGAGGGAGUAGCUG
rnacentral:pre_miRNA from 1 species